GGCAAUGCAAUGGCGGCACCCGUGCUGCGUUCGGGUUUCCCUGGAAGACGCUGGGCUUUAGCGUGGAUAGACGACUGUUCCCGCCUCCGAAGUGGCUCUCAAAUUGGGCCCAUAUCCAACUGGGCUAGGAGACAGAGUUCAGUGGCUCAGCCUUCCCUCCACACGGCUCAGAAGCCGAGGAAAGGUGAACACAAAUGGGCAGCUGUAGUAGGAUUGGAAAUUCAUGCGCAGAUUUCCUCCAACUCUAAACUCUUCUCUGGAGCUCAAGUAUGCUUUGCAGCACCUCCGAAUUCUUUGGUUUCUUAUUUUGAUGCAUCUCUGCCUGGAACUUUACCGAAAAGCACAGAUUAGAAAGUGGACACACGUAUUUAUCUACACAGCAAGGCAAUGGAAUAACAUGCUGACCUGGCCUUCCAUCUGUCACAAGCAGCUUGACUAAGAUCAUCAUAGAUUCUCUUUUCUUGGCAUUCUUUUAGUGGGUACUCUGUUUACUAGUCCUCUGUGCUGCUGUAGUGCCGUGGCGAUUGAUGGUUAUAAUUCUGACCCUGAAGCACUUCAAGGCUCCUAAAUCAUCAGAAAAAGAUUAAAGUAUAUUCAAUAUCACUCUAA
rnacentral:lncRNA from 1 species